rnacentral:rRNA from 1 species
GUGCCUACGGGACGCAGCAGUGAGGAAUAUUGGUCAAUGGACGCAAGUCUGAACCAGCCAUGCCGCGUGCAGGAAGACGGCUCGAUGAGUUGUAAACUGCUUUUGUACGAGGGUAAACGCAGAUACGUGUAUCUGUCUGAAAGUAUCGUACGAAUAAGGAUCGGCUAACUCCGUGCCAGCAGCCGCGGUAAUACGGAGGAUUCGAGCGUUAUCCGGAUUCAUUGGGUUUAAAGGGUGCGCAGGCGGGCCUUUAAGCCGGCGGGGAAAUCGCGGGGCUCCACCCCGCCGAGCC